UGGCAGGCUAGCCUGGAUAAUUCGGCGUUAUCUGUCACCUGAAACCGUCGAUAUGCAGGGGGCGAAGCCAAGGGAAGAUAUUACUCAUUAAUGUAACAGCCCAUAAACACAACAAUGAAAUUUCGUCCUGCAGGGAUGCUGUUGCUAUGCAAGGUUGCCUGAAGGUAGCUUUUUAUAGCUUAAUCGUGGAAAGCGGUCAAGGCCCGGAAGGGAGCAGACCAGCCUCGAACAAGUAUCGCUUGUGGGGUUGCGAGGUGGAGGAGUGUUUUUGGAAUACUGGACAUUAAAGAGAAUAGCAACCUGCGGCACGCCUGUCA
rnacentral:SRP_RNA from 1 species